UCCGUUACCUGUCAGCGGCCGCGGGAUGGAGGGGCUCAUCGAGCUGGUGAACCGGCUGCAGGACGCCUUCGCGGCGCUGGGGCAGAGCUGCCUGUUGGAGCUGCCGCAGAUCGCUGUGGUGGGCGGGCAGAGCGCCGGCAAGAGCUCGGUGCUGGAGAACUGCGUCUCCAGGGAUUUUCUUCCACGAGGAUCUGGAAUUGUAACAAGGCGACCAUUGGUUUUACAGCUUGUCACUGCCAAAACAGAAUAUGCUGAGUUCCUACACUGCAAAGGGAGGAAGUUUACAGAUUUUGAUGAGGUUCGUCAAGAAAUUGAAGCAGAAACAGACAGAGUGACGGGACUGAAUAAAGGCAUUUCUUCAAUUCCUAUUAAUUUAAGAGUGUAUUCCCCACAUGUGCUAAGCCUGACCCUUGUUGAUUUGCCUGGAAUCACUAAAGUGCCAGUAGGGGAUCAACCUCCAGAUAUAGAGCAACAGAUCAGAGAGAUGAUUAUGCAGUUUAUUUCUCGUGAAAACUGUCUGAUCCUGGCUGUGACUCCAGCCAACACUGAUCUUGCUAACUCAGAUGCAUUGAAGUUAGCUAAAGAAGUAGACCCUCAAGGCCUGAGAACCAUUGGUGUAAUUACAAAACUGGAUUUGAUGGAUGAAGGAACUGAUGCAACAGAGAUUCUGGAGAACAAGUUGCUCCCUCUUCGUAGAGGGUAUAUUGGAGUUGUAAACAGAAGUCAGAAAGACAUUGAUGGGAAGAAGGAUAUUAAGGCAGCCAUGCUGGCAGAAAGGAAAUUCUUCCUUUCCCAUCCAGCUUACAGGCAUAUGGCAGACCGGAUGGGAACACCAUAUCUGCAGAAAGUUCUAAAUCAGCAACUCACCAAUCACAUUCGAGAUACACUGCCAACCUUCAGGAGCAAACUUCAGAGCCAGCUGCUUUCUAUAGAGCAUGAAGUAGAGGCAUAUAAAAACUUUAAACCAGAAGAUCCGACUAGAAAGACUAAAGCCUUACUGCAGAUGGUUCAACAGUUCUCAGUGGACUUUGAAAAAAGAAUUGAAGGAUCAGGGGAUCAAGUUGACACAUUAGAACUAUCUGGUGGUGCCAAAAUCAAUCGUAUUUUCCAUGAGCGUUUUCCUUUUGAACUAGUAAAGAUGGAAUUCAAUGAGAAAGAACUGCGGAGAGAAAUAAGCUAUGCAAUCAAAAACAUACAUGGUAUCAGAACAGGUUUGUUUACUCCAGACAUGGCCUUCGAGGCUAUAGUUAAAAAACAGAUAGUGAAGCUGAAAGGGCCUUGCUUAAAAAGCGUGGAUCUGGUGAUGCAAGAGUUAAUCAACACUGUCAAGAAAUGCACUAAAAAGCUGGCGACCUAUCCAAGGCUGUGUGAGGAAACAGAAAGGAUUGUUGCUGGCCACAUUCGAGACAGAGAAGAGAAGACCAAGGAACAGGUACUGCUGCUAAUUGAUAUCCAGGUAUCUUACAUCAAUACCAACCACGAAGACUUCAUUGGCUUUGCAAAUGCCCAACAACGAAGCAGUCAGGUUAACAAAAGUGCAGUUGGAAAUCAGGGAGCCAAUCUACCGCCUUCACGGCAAAUUCCACAGGUGAUCCGGAAAGGCUGGCUCACCAUCAACAAUAUCGGCAUCAUGAAAGGGGGAUCCAAGGAAUAUUGGUUUGUUCUGACAGCAGAAAGCUUGUCCUGGUAUAAAGAUGAUGAGGAAAAGGAAAAGAAGUACAUGCUUCCCUUGGACAACCUGAAAGUGCGAGAUGUUGAAAAGAGCUUCAUGUCUAGCAAACAUAUUUUUGCCUUGUUUAACACGGAGCAAAGGAAUGUUUACAAGGAUUAUCGCUUCCUUGAGCUGGCCUGUGAUGCCCAGGAGGAGAUGGAUAGCUGGAAGGCAUCCCUGCUGCGUGCUGGUGUCUAUCCUGAUAAAUCCUCAAUGGAAAACGAUGAGAACAGCCAGGCAGACAAUUUCUCCAUGGACCCCCAACUGGAGAGGCAGGUGGAGACUAUUCGCAACCUUGUGGACUCCUACAUGUCUAUUAUCAAUAAGUGUAUUCGUGAUCUGAUACCAAAAACAAUCAUGCAUCUUAUGAUCAACAACGUAAAAGAAUUCAUAAAUGCAGAGCUCCUGGCUCACUUGUAUUCCUCUGAGGACCAAAACACCUUGAUGGAGGAGUCAGCAGAACAGGCUCAGAGGCGAGAUGAGGGGCUUCGCCUGUACCAAGCCCUAAAAGAAGCACUGGCAAUCAUUGGAGAUAUUAGCACUAGCACUGUAUCUAUCCCUGCCCCACCUCCAGUUGAUGAUUCCUGGCUACAGCAAUCCCGCAGAUCACCCCCUCCAAGUCCUUCAACUCAGAGAAGGCCUACAUUAAAUAAUCCCCCAACCAGACCUUUAUCUGGCCGAGGACCUGCUCCAGCAGUCCCAUCUCCAGGCCCUCUGUCUGGGGCUCCACCAGUCCCAUUCCGUCCAGGACCAUUACCUCCAUUUCCUAACAACAGUGAAGGUCUUGGGACACCACCGCAGGUUCCAUCUCGGCCAACGCGGGCUCCUCCCAGUGUUCCAAGGUUCCUGUUAUAACUAUCGACCGCAUUCCAGAUCCUGCUACCACCUGGCAGCUCGGCAAGGAGAGCAGCUCCUCGCAUAGCCCAGGCAAGCCCACUAGAAGGAAGUCAUCCUUGACCAAGAGUAGAAACCAGUUUGUAAGGGAAAGCUACAACCCCCCAGGAUUCAGACCCUCAGCCCUGGGAGCGCUCCCAUGCAAAACGAGCUGUCUGAUGACUUCUCCAUGCAAGCAGAGCUGUGGCUCUCGGAAGAACCAGAGGUGCAUUUCCCCAGGGCCUGGUCUAAGGGCAGGCAGCUUUCAUCACAGAGAACUACUAGUGCAGCAAACGACUGACGCAAACCUGCUGCUCUCUCUUCCCUUGUCUGGGCAAUUACGGAAAGCCAGGUUGAUGUCCCUCAACCCUGUGAGAGCCAAAGCCCCCGAUCCUGCCUUCUGUGGCCUCAUCGUAGCAGAGAGGCUCUGGACCAGGCCAGCACUUCCUGACAAGCCCGUCUCUCUCCACACUUCGUACCUCCCAGAAAUCCUUCACUACACCUCUCUCUGCUCCCUGGGGGAAGAAGAAGAAGAUGAGGGCAGCAAGCCGCAGGAGCCCAGGGACUGCAGAGUGAGGAAGCACCAUCUGGACAGCAAUUUGAUUUGCUAGGGCUGGGACAGCUGGGAAGCAGGGAGAACCUGGCCCACCUGGCUGGAUGUCAUGGUAUAAUUGUUUCCUCUCCUGUACCCAUGACAAUGGCUGAGUCGCCAUUUGGCCCUCUCCAGACCCCUACCCCAAUAUGAUGGCUUAUGACUGAAUCUCAAAUACAGAUCUUUGGCUCACAGCAAAUUUUCCUCUUUUUGUUCUGCUGACGCUGCCCAGCGAGAUAUACAGAGGCACCCUGCUCCACAGGUCAGGGCUGCUCCCUUUGGUAGCUAGGAACCUAGAAAAAUGGCCAGGAGCAAUGGGGGGCUCCUUACAUACUCCCCCUGCUCAGACCGAAGCCUAUAGGACAGGUCAGCCACCACCCACCCAUCCGCUGCGUUAAUACCUGUAGACGGCGCCACCGCUGACAGUUUAUUACACAGUCAUAGUGGAGCUCAGCACUUAUCCCUGGUAGAGCAAAACCUCGCCUGUUCCUCUGGGAUGGGAGGAGCCAUUGCGGAGCAGACAAAGAGAGGAUCUCUGCACCCCUUUGCUGAGCUUCAUGCCAGUUGCACAGAGCUCUGGAUGGGGUGGCUGGGACUGGGAUUAUGCCUCACUGCUGGCCACGAAUUUCAGAGAGGCAGUGGGGGACUCCAGGAGACCUGGCUCUGCCACUGGCCUGCUGGGUGACCAUGGGCAGUCACUGCCCUGCUCUGGGCCUCAGUUUCCCCAUCUGUAAAAUGGCAACAAUGAGUCCCUUAGCUCUUUUUUACGAAGCACUUUGAGUGCUCCAGAGGAAAGGGGCUACAUAAGCACGAGGUGGGAAUAGGACGCUAGCGGGCAAGGAUGGGCUGCAGAGUUGCCUGACACCCACUCCGAGGGUUCGGGUGUUGAUUCCCUUCCCUCAGCUCCUCUGGCAUGACCCGCCCCAAGCCCAUUAGUCAGGCUGCAUGGGGAGAAAAGAGGGAAUUUCACCCAGGUUGAAUGAGCAAUUGGGUGAAUGAUCGUACCAUCCUGGGUCUUCUAUUUAACAAGGCACUGGACUCACUGUGCCCCCCAUGCGACUGCUACCGUGGUCCUUAGCAUUGAGAAGAAGUUGCUCUUCAGUAGCUAGUUUCAUUUUAGUCCUAGAAGGUGCCAGCUGUGAAAGUCUGAUGACAAAUUGUAAUUCUGAUAUGCAUAUGGAUCACUGUCAGGCAGUGACCUCCGCAUUUGAUGGCUAUGUCCGUGCCCUCUCAGAAAGGCGUGCCAUGGAGUUGUGUUGCUGUGAACCGAUGAAUAUUUUAAUCUUCUGCUCCUUUAAAAAUGUCUGGCUGUAAUACUAGAAGGGGGGUGGGGCUGGAAUUUAACUAGCUGUCAGUGAGCCAGGCAUCCGA